rnacentral:rRNA from 1 species
CUACGGGAGGCAGCAGUAGGGAAUAUUGGACAAUGGGGGCAACCCUGAUCCAGCAAUGCCGCGUGAGUGAUGAAGGCCUUAGGGUUGUAAAGCUCUUUUACCCGAGAUGAUAAUGACAGUAUCGGGAGAAUAAGCUCCGGCUAACUCCGUGCCAGCAGCCGCGGUAAU